GGGCGCAGGAACAGGAAAGAUGGGGGCAGUGAAGACUUAAAGCCAGUAAAUAGGAAACUAGCAAAUGAAUCUGCUCAGUAACUAAUGGUGUGAUUGUUCUCUCAGUGUGUGGCAAGGCUCAGAGUCCAUGUGGAUGUGAACGCAAGUUGCUAACUGUUGACCUGGCCCCUAGGGGCUUCCCAUUGUGCUCCACCAUUCCUUAAGCACCUGAUGCAUCCCUGACCCCCCAGGCAAAGGGCUCUUUAACCCCUCUCUCCUCCCUGGUGUGAACAGCAACAGAGGCUUUAGCAGAGCUCUCACUUAAUGCUCCUCAGCUGCUCGCUCCCAUUUAUUUAUUUUAAGCAUUUUUACCCAGCUCUUCAGCUCCAAAAAGGCUCCCGAAGCUGUUUACAAAGAUGAAAAACAAAGACGGUCCCUUCCCUCGGGCCUGCAAUCUAAAAGACAUGGCACCAAGGGAAAGGGAUUAAGAAGGCAGCAUAAAGUACAGGUCAUUGAUCCAUAGGGGGGGCAAUUGGGGGCACACACAAGUAUUUAUUAAUUGCAUUGAAGGUUUUAAUUGUACUAUAAAUACAUAAAUAAAAACAUUGUAAUGCCUAGGAAGAUCGCGCUGGAGCAUUAACAUCUCCUGAAGCUCUGGCUACUGAGUUUGGAUUCCACCGUGUAACAGGAAAAAGUGCUAGAACCAUCUUUGGAAAGGGAGGCAGGUAAAGACACGUACCUGCUCCUUCUAUCAGGGAAUACAUCUGCUGGAGCAGGAAAGAUGGGGAGGAAGGAUGGGACACCCAUACUGGAAAAGGUGCUCAGCAUCUUCCAGUAGCAGCAUCCUAUUAGGUUCAUCCCUGGAUGGUGGGGAGUGGGUCAAAACUCCCUGGAAAAGCCUGUGGGGCAGAUUAAAUGGAGGGGGGCAUCCAGCCCUCGGGAUGGCCCCAACCCUGGCAUAAAGGGAGAAGCUGCUGUGUGAGCAAAUGCCUGAAACGCAUCCUAAGGCAAAGGCCUCCAUCAACUCCUCUAUUGCUACUGGCACUGCAGACAAAGGUGUUAAAGAGUCCUUUACUGGUGUCUCGGCUUGCCCAGGAGUGAGUCAGCAGGCACAGCCAAUGUGGCUGGUUUCCAAAGCCCUUGCUCAAUUCAAAAUGUGACUCCAUAUAUAUAUAUAUUUUCUAUAAUGUUGACUAAAGCAGUACGACCUUGAGAUUCUGAGCCUCCGAUCUAAAAAGAGGCAUACAGUGUUUUUCUGGAAAAAGUAGUAGUGCAGCCUGUUGAGAUGUGACGCGUACAAUAUUCUUAUAAUAUUUUGUAUUGGAGAAAUCGUAUUGGUUCAUCACGGUGAUGUGAUGGUGUUGGAAAACACACUGGUAGCACUGCACAAUCACCCUUGCCUGGAGUCCUUUCUGUGUGUUUGGGUAGCAGCAGUUGUGCUGUGGCAGGGAUUGUGUGUAUGUGUGGCAUUUUAAUACUUUGAUCUGUCAGUAAUCCAGAAUCAUCCUGUAGUAGCAAAGUAUCGGGAGAGCCUGUUUCACUAGCUGUGGAAUGGUAACGUGUAUGCUGUCACUUCCUCAUUUCUGGCUAUAGAAAGCUUUUUUUUACUUGAAAGGACAUUUCAUGAUUCAUGAUUUAAAGUGGCAUUUAUGUGAACGUCUCAUAAAAUACAGGCUUUACAAUCUUAGACAAUGGUAUCUGGUUUCACUCGCGCAUGUGGCCAUUUGGGGGAUUUCGUUGUGAAAUUUGUCGUGAUGGUACCUACGAGGCAUUACAGCCCUUUACAGUUUUCCUUUCUUCACAUAUCAUUUUGUUCUGAAGCCUUGAUCCCCGGACAUUGCCGAUCUUCAGUUGCCUCUGAGAAUGUCCCAAGGCACCUUUCAAGACUAUUGCAGUAGGCCUGGAUAGCAACUUGCUCUUCUGACAAUGGAAAGCUGAUAUUUCCAGAAAGUGAAAUGCCAAAUCUUGGUCCCUUUAAAAACAACACCAUUCAAAUCCUCGGGGGUUUGAGAGCCCCAGUCUCUAGCUGAAGCAACAACCCCCAAUAAAUAAAGAGUGAAAGACACCAAUUUCUACUUAAUAAUCAGUUGCACUCAUUUUCAUCAUACAUCACGUUGAGUUUAUUUUAUAGCAAAGCGUGCAAAAACCGUCAACUAUCUAAAUUAAAAUGUGAGAAAUCACUGGAGAAUCUUUAACACAGAACACUUGAGCCAGAUUAACACAGAGCUCUUGAGCUAGUUCUCCCUUUUGACAACUAAAGACCAAAGGACACCCCACAACCCCUCAAUGCUUUGGUUCCCUUGGAUGGCGCUGGAGUUUGUUGUGAUCCAGGGCUGAAAAGUAUGAGCAAAAAACCCACCCCAUCUUGCGGUCAUAGUUCUUCAGUCAACUGAAGAGGCUUUUAUCAGACGUCAAGUGGAAUAACGGGACCCUUUCUCAUACAGAGCAUUCUGCAACGCAAACACAAUGCUGCUAACAGCCUUACAUGCGGCUGUUUUGAACUAAGUUCCAAGGCCUUGUGAUAGUUUCAUCCCCAGCAUUUGUGUUUAUAGGUUUGUGUGUGUUUAUGUACUUAACAAAGCUUUGCUUUCUUCUUCCAUCUCCCUUUUCUCCAGACCCAUUAAAGGCAGGCAAGGCUGCAAAAGGAAGACCAGGGCCGGGCCCUAUAGUUCUUGCCACUGACCUUGCUGGCCGGGGCGGAAAUUCAACUUUAACUGACUCAAUCAAUUUUGCAAUAUAUUAUUGCUACUUACUUGGUCAAAUCUUACUGAGCCAUGAUUACACAAAGAGAGACUUUGAUUUACCAAGUACACGGAAAUGUUCUGCUGUCCUGGAGAGAGAGAUUCCAAUGCCGAGGGGUCCGGAGUGUGGACUUAAAUUUUUUAAAAAACCUUUUGUUAAAUAUGUAUAUGUAUACCAUAUGUACAUUAUAUAUGUAUUCCAUUGUAAACUGCUUAUCUAUAAAAUAUCUGAAAGAAAAAAAUACGUUAAUAUGAGCAAAAGUUACAAAUGGCACAUACCCAACAAUCUGGAGUUAUUACAAAUUUUAUUUUCAAUCUAUAUAUUUUCCAGAAAAAACUCACUCCAGAAAUUAUGUUCCAAUUUAACAUAAAAUUUCUGGGUUUGAAUGCACUUUCUCUGCCUUCCCGAAACCUAAACAGAUGUGUCAGUUUUUCUAUAGAGAGUGUGUUCCAAAUUUGUUUUGACCAGUCUAUUAUUUGUAAUCCUUGUGAAUUAUUCCAUUUACAACCCACUUCCGUUUUUACUGUAACAAUUAAAUUAGAUAUAUAUUUU